GACCAGACUCCUACGGGAGGCAGCAGUGGGGAAUAUUGCACAAUGGGGGAAACCCUGAUGCAGCGACGCCGCGUGAGUGAAGAAGUAUUUCGGUAUGUAAAGCUCUAUCAGCAGGGAAGAAAAUGACGGUACCUGACUAAGAAGCCCCGGCUAACUACGUGCCAGCAGCCGCGGUAAUACGUAGGGGGCAAGCGUUAUCCGGAUUUACUGGGUGUAAAGGGAGCGUAGACGGCAUGGCAAGUCAGAUGUGAAAGCCCGGGGCUCAACCCCGGGACUGCAUUUGAAACUGUCAGGCUGGAGUGCAGGAGAGGUAAGUGGAAUUCCUAGUGUAGCGGUGAAAUGCGUAGAUAUUAGGAGGAACACCAGUGGCGAAGGCGGCUUACUGGACUGUAACUGACGUUGAGGCUCGAAAGCGUGGGGAGCAAACAGGAUUAGAUACCCCUGUAAG
rnacentral:rRNA from 1 species